CAAUUUCAGAUCCAGUCAUGGCAAAAACCUUCGAUCACUCACAACUUCUACUCUAUCUCCUACCUUAUGCUCCAUGUUCUCCUUCUUCAACAAUUUUUACUCUUCCUUCCACACAUCUCAUCAAUGUCAAAAAUCCAAAUUGGGGAACUUACGAAGGUUCAUUUGACAACAACGACAGUAGCCUAGCGACGAGUCGAAUCUUGACAAAAUUCAUUCUCUCACAAAUCGAAUUGAUAUUGCAAAGAUGCGGAGUAUUUUCAUUUACAACAAUAUAAUGGCAAUCACCCCAUCAAAGUAAUCAAUCCCAUUGUUAUUUAUGGACUUUUAUAGUUGUAUGGCUGGGUUUUGUCGUUGAAUCAGGUAAAUGACUUCUAUUGGCAGAAAGAAAAACAUAAGGUUGGAAUGAACAUUUUAAUGAAGAUAAAUCAUGGCAAGGGACAAGAUGAAUGUCAAUUUAUAUGGAAUAACAGACAUUCCGUACAAAUCACUCCCUCUUACUCUCCAGUUUGAAGGGUAUUUGUUUAGUACUCCAUAUCAAUGACGGUCAAAAUAUUUAAGGAUUUAGUGGUCUUUGUUUAGUACUUCGCAUUAAUGCGGUCAAAAUAUUAACGAUUAGUGGUUUUUGUUUAGUACUCCAUAGAAAUGUGGUGAAAAUACUAAGGGUUUAUUUUGUAUACACUUAUUAAACUUGGUUCAUGUUAAGAUUGGUCUUGCUCUUUAGUUUAACACUCAAGUGUAUCAUUGUAUUUUAUGUACUUAUUA